rnacentral:rRNA from 1 species
CUACGGGUGGCUCCAGUGGGGAAUAUUGCACAAUGGCGCAAGCCUGAUGCAGCAACGCCGCGUGAGGGAUGAAGGCCUUCGGGUUGUAAACCUCUUUUAGCAGGGAAGAAGCGAAAGUGACGGUACCUGCAGAAAAAGCACCGGCUAACUACGUGCCAGCAGCCGCGGUAAUACGUAGGGUGCAAGCGUUGUCCGGAAUUAUUGGGCGUAAGGAGCUCGUAGGCGGUUUGUCACGUCUGCUGUGAAAAUCCAAGGCUCAACCUUGGACUUGCAGUGGGUACGGGCAGGCUAGAGUGCGGUAGGGGAGAUGGGAAUUCCUGGUGUAGCGGUGGAAUGCGCAGAUAUCAGGAGGAACACCAAUGGCGAAGGCACAUCUCUGGGCCGUAACUGACGCUGAGGAGCGAAAGCGUGGGGAGCGAACAGGAUUAGAUACCCUUGUAGUC